CACAUGCUGUGCUGCGUACCAUCCUGGCGAUUAAAUUCCAACCGUCAGAAUUGCUUAUACAGUUAAGAAACCGUUGGUGAAGCUGACGCAGCGAAUAGGUUUGAUAUUCUUGAAACCUCGAGUUGCGGGAGAGGAACAGACCUGGAGAUACCAAACUUGGAGAUACCAGCGGGGCAGCAGAUCAUUAGCUGCCAAUCUGCAACAGAGCCAACCCGUUGAGACUAAAGCAGCUAUUUCGGUGAAUGAUGAAGAUGACCACGAUUACGACGUGCCGGAAGAAAUCGAAGAAGUACUUAACGAGAUCCUGCAAGCCCCCCCCCCCCCCGAGACAAGAACCGUGAAGUCCAGUACUCUGCAGCAAAAGGCAUUGGGCGGCUGACCAGUAGCUUAUCAAAGAAUUUUGCCGACCAGAAAACACUGAACAAUAUAAAGCUGUACGUGAUGCCGCUUGUUACCUCUGCUGGGCUCUUGCCCGAUCCUAAGACCCGUCUCUGCUCCAGCCAUUCGUCCAUCAGUUGGCUAAAGCCAUAGUCAUCACCACCGUGUUCGAUCGUGAGGUCAACUGCUGACGGGCUGCCGCUUCUGCCUUCGAGGAACACGUCGGUCGACAGGGCACUUUUCCUCACGGCAUCGACAUUCUGACCACCUGCGAUUAGUUCGCUUACUUAAAAAUGCCUAUCUCCAACUCAAUCUUUUCGUGGCGCAAUACGAAGAGUACCGGCCGCAUCUCAUCCAGCAUUUAGUGGAUCGUAAACGUAAAGUCAUCCAUUGGGACACGGUUAUUCGACAGCUAACAUCUCAGGCCUUACAUCAAAUGACGUUCCUCGAUCCGGAGAGUAUGAAACUGAUUCUUUCUACUCAGAUCCUUCCUCGCUGCACAAAUCCUGAACUUUAUUUACGGCACGGAAGCAUUUUGGCCAGUGGCAAAGUCAUCAGCGCUCUUUGUCAAGUGGCAAAAGACCAUCAACGUCGUCUGCCAGAUGAACUUGGUGAUGCCGCGAUAGAAUCCAUUACCCAAACUUGUAUCGACAUCCUGGAGGAGCGUUUCUGACGGAGUUUCGGCGGCGAUACAAUGCGCAUAGCCGUUUGCCAUUUCAUCCAAGAUCUUAGUUCGGGGGGUUUCCUGUUGCUGGACGCUGUAGUCGACCGUUGGUUGAAGGCGUUACGAGAGUGUCUCGCUUCAGCCGAUUCAAAUGUCCAGCAAUCGGCCUUCAGCGCCGUCACCGCUUUCAUUGGCGAAUACUUCCGGCAUCAGCCAGUGGAGAAACUCACUGCCUUGUUGAACCAUUUCCUACCCAAGGUGACGAGCAACAACCAACAGGCGAGAGUAGGAAACGCACUAGCCCUAGGCUCAAUGCCUCGCUUCCUCCUCACCGUUUCCUUGCCGGAAGUCAUCCAACAGUUGUGCACCUGCGCUCUCAUCACCGACAAGACUCUCCAAUGGGCCGAAUCUCGAAAAAAUGCUCUGACAGCUCUUUCUCUCGUCUGCACAACCGUUGGGAUCGCCCCAUCCAGUCCAGGUGGGGUUGAUCAAGUGACACUGGCCGGAAUAUUCCGCACAUUGAUCGACGGCCUUGAAGAUUACACGGUGGAUAGCCGUGGAGAUAUUGGUGCUAUCGUCCGUGAAUCCGCAAUGUAUUCUAUUCAGGUUGUUUAGGUAUUGACCAACACCUCGCAACCAGACCUACUUGAAGCUGACCUGAUCCGCUCCGUAUUGCAUGCGGUGGCUAAACAAUCGACGGAACAAAUCCGUCGUAACCGGUUGUUGGCCCCCAACUUCUUUUCUUCUCUCGUCUACUGUGAUCCCACCAUUCCUCACAUUGAGCAGUUGGAAGAAUUGCGUUCCAUCAUUCCACCACCUCCGCUGGAAAUUCGACCGAGAAGGAAUGUUUCGAUUUGUGGAUGAAGGUGAUGCGACUCGACACUUACCGCAAAGCCGUCAUCACCGGACUUGUUUCCAGCAUCGGCAGUCUCACGGAGAGUUUGGUUAAAAGUUCUAGCGCUCCAUUCAUGAGUUACCUCCGCCAGUUGGUUGCCGAGAACAAAUUGGAUGAACUGAAUUUGGUCACCCGGGAUAUUCUAAACGUGUUUCAAGAGAAUUUGAAUAGUGUCCGACUGAUGCCGUACAUUUUCAACUUCCUGGGCCAUCUCUUGUCGUCCGGAUGUUUGGAUUCCGUUUUCAAAUCCAUGUCACUGUCGCUGUUGACCUUGAUCCGCACUGAGAUGACCAACGGCGUUGUUGAUAUCGUCGGUGGAUUUGUACUGUCACCUACUCAGAGGUGAACAAGUGACGUUCGAUAAAUCAAUCAUUCACCUGUUAAAUCUGCUAGUGAAUCGGUUCCUUCGCGUUCGUAAAAUCACGGCCACCAAGUUGUACGAGACGCUGCUGACUCUGACAGAUAUUAGCCCGUCGUUGGCCAAUCACCAAGACGACAUCUUGGCCAUUCCCAGCGACACUGACUGGGACGAAGACGUCGAAGCUUUGAAGCCCGUCAAGACUCAGCUUCGCUCACUUUUAAUUCCACCGACUUUGAAUCCUUGAAAUUCUUAGCCUUUCAUUAAAAUUAUUUGCUUAUUUAAAAUUAAAAAACCACCCGAAAUUGUGUCAUUAGUUUAUGGGAAAUACAAUUUCGAUUGUUUGGCUGCACUAAA
rnacentral:lncRNA from 1 species